rnacentral:rRNA from 1 species
GAUGAACGCUGGCGGCGUGCCUAAUACAUGCAAGUCGAGCGAACGGACGAGAUGCUUGCUUCUCUGAUGUUAGCGGCGGACGGGUGAGUAACACGUGGAUAACCUACCUAUAAGACUGGGAUAACUUCGGGAAACCGGAGCUAAUACCGGAUAAUAUUUUGAACCGCAUGGUUCAAAAGUGAAAGACGGUCUUGCUGUAACUUAUAGAUGGAUCCGCGCGUCAUUAGCUAUUUGGUAAGGUAACGGCUUACCAAGGCAACGAUGCAUAGCCGACCUGAGAGGGUGAUCGCCCACUCUGGAACGAGAACACGGUCCAGACUCCUACGGGAGGCAGCAGAAGGGAAUCUUCCGCAAGGGGGGAAAGCCUGACGGGGCAACGCGGCGUGAGUGAUAAGGGUCUUCGGAUCGUAAAACUCUGUUAUUAGGGAAGAACAUAGGUGUAAGGAACUGUGCACAUCGUGACGGUACCUAAUCAGAAAGCCACGGCUAACUACGUG